AUGUGUGAGUGCACCUCCAUCCACAUUGGCCAGGCUGGUGUUCAGAUAGGCAAUGCCUGCUGGGAGCUCUACUGCCUGAAACAUAGCAUUCAGAUGCCAUGUGAUGGCCAUGAUGGCCAGAUGCCAAGUGACAAGACUAUUGGGGGAGGAGAUGACUCCUUCAACACUUUCUUCAGUGAGACAGACGCUGGCAAGCAUGUGCCCAGGUCAGUGUUUGUAGACCUGGAAUCCCCACUCAUUGAUGAGGUUUGCACUGGCGCCUACUGCCAGCUCUUCCACCCUGAGCAGCUCAUCACAGGCAAAGAGGAUGCUGCCAAUAACUAUGCCCGAGGUCACUACACCAUUGGCAAGGAGAUCAUUGACCUCAUCUUGGACCAAAUUUGGAAACUGGCUGACCAGUGCACAGGUCUUCAGGGCUUCUUGGUUUUUCACAGCUUUUGGUAGGAGAACUGGUUCUGGGUCACCUUCCUGCUGAUGGAAUGUCUCUCUGUCGAUUAUGGCAAGAAAUCCAAGCUGGACUUCUCCAUUUACCCAGCCCCACAACGUUCAACAGCUGUAGUUGAGCCCUACAACUCUAUCCUCACCACCCACAGCACCCUGAAGCACUCUGAUUGUGCCUUCAUGGUAGACAAUGAGGCCAUCAAUAACAUCUAUCCUAGAAACUUCAACAUUGAGUGCUCGACAUUGAGUGCCCGACAUAUACUAACCUGAAUAGGUUGAUAGGUCAGACUGUGUCCUCCAUCACUGCUUCCCUGAGGUCUGAUGGAGCCCUGAAUGCAGAUCUGACAGAGUUCCAGACCAACCUGGUGCCCUAUCCCUGCAUCCACUUCCCUCUGGCCACAUACGCCCCUGUCAUCUCUGCUGAGAAAGCCCACCAUGAACAGCUUUCUGAAGCAGAGAUCACCAGUGCUUGCUUUGAACCAGCCAACCAGAUGGUGAAAUGUGACCCUCGCCAUCGUAAAUACAUGGCCUGCUGCCUGUUGUACCAUGGCGACAUGGUUCCCAAAGAUGUCAGUGCUGCCAUUGCCACCAUCAAGACCAAGCGUACCAUCCAGUUUGUGGACUGGUGCCCCGCUGGCUUCAAGGUUGGCAUUAAUUACCAGCCUCCCACUGUGGUACCUGGUGGAGACCUGGCCAAAGUCCAGCGAGCUGUGUGCAUGCUGAGCAACACCACAGCCAUCGCUGAGGCCUGGGCUCGCCUGGACCACAAGUUUGACUUGAUGUUUGCCAAGCAACAUCACAGUUUCAAAGUGCUCUUUCAUUACCCACUAGCUCAAUUGGUCUCUGAAUAA